AUUGAACGCUGGCGGCAUGCCUUACACAUGCAAGUCGAACGGUAACGGGCCUUCGGGUGCCGACGAGUGGCGAACGGGUGAGUAAUACAUCGGAACGUGCCCGAUCGUGGGGGAUAACGAGGCGAAAGCUUUGCUAAUACCGCAUACGAUCUACGGAUGAAAGCAGGGGACCGCAAGGCCUUGCGCGGACGGAGCGGCCGAGGGCAGAUUAGGUAGUUGGUGGGAUAAAAGCUUACCAAGCCGACGAUCUGUAGCUGGUCUGAGAGGAUGAUCAGCCACACUGGGACUGAGACACGGCCCAGACUCCUACGGGAGGCAGCAGUGGGGAAUUUUGGACAAUGGGCGCAAGCCUGAUCCAGCCAUGCCGCGUGCAGGAUGAAGGCCUUCGGGUUGUAAACUGCUUUUGUACGGAACGAAAAGCCUUCUUUUAAUACAGGAGGGUCAUGACGGUACCGUAAGAAUAAGCACCGGCUAACUACGUG
rnacentral:rRNA from 1 species